rnacentral:rRNA from 1 species
AGUGAACGCUGGCGGUAGGCCUAACACAUGCAAGUCGAACGGCAGCACAGUAAGAGCUUGCUCUUACGGGUGGCGAGUGGCGGACGGGUGAGGAAUACAUCGGAAUCUACUUUUUCGUGGGGGAUAACGUAGGGAAACUUACGCUAAUACCGCAUACGACCUACGGGUGAAAGCAGGGGAUCUUCGGACCUUGCGCGAUUGAAUGAGCCGAUGUCGGAUUAGCUAGUUGGCGGGGUAAAGGCCCACCAAGGCGACGAUCCGUAGCUGGUCUGAGAGGAUGAUCGGCCACACUGGAACUGAGACACGGUCCAGACUCCUACGGGAGGCAGCAGUGGGGAAUAUUAGACAAAGGGCGCAAGCCUGAUCCAGCCAUACCGCGUGGGUGAAGAAGGCCUUCGGGUUGUAAAGCCCUUUUGUUGGGAAAGAAAAGCAGCAGGUUAAUACCCCGCUGUUCUGACGGUACCCAAAGAAUAAGCACCGGCUAACUUCGUG